rnacentral:ncRNA from 1 species
AAUCGGCCUACUCCAUUACUGGACGUGUCCUUACAUGGUGUGCCGAGGGGAAUGCGCCUCACUAACAGCGGCAAUUUUGCCGGAAAAGUGAAAAAACAAGAUAACUGGGUAGAGUUUGGUAGGUGCCUUCUGGCAGUCGAAGAAGUCGGGCCCA